UUCCGUAGGUGACCUGCGGAGGAUCAUUAUCGAAUUGGCUUGGACUGUGCUGGCUUCUGCAUGUGCACGUCCAUCUUCAUCCAAUACACCUGUGCAUCUUUGACUUUGAGCCCUCGGGCAAGAAGUAUUACUACACCCUUUGAUUAUGUAUGUGAUAAAUUAUGGCGCUUUGCGUCGAUUAUAAAACAACUUUCAACAACGGAUCUCUUGGCUCUCGCAUCGAUGAAGAACGCAGCGAAAUGCGAUAAGUAAUGUGAAUUGCAGAAUUCAGUGAAUCAUCGAAUCUUUGAACGCACCUUGCACCCUUUGGUAUUCCGAAGGGUAUGCCCGUUUGAGUGUCAUUGUAAUCUCACACCCAAGACUUCUUGUCGAGGGAGGUGGACUUGGACGUUUGCUGCGUAACUGCGGCUCGUCUCAAAAGUGUCAGCGCGGCUCUAGAUGAAGCGUUUGAUGCCCAGUGUAAUAAGUAUUUCGCUGUGGUUAGCAUUACUCUACGAAGCUGUUGUGCUCUCUAAUCGUCUUCGGACUGGACCAGUGAUGGUUCAUUUGACAACUUGGCCUCAAAUCGGGUAGGACUACCCGCUGAACUUAAGCAUAUCAAUAAGCGGAGGAAAAGAAACUAACCAGGAUUCCCCUAGUAACGGCGAGUGAAGAGGGAAGAGCUCAAAUUUUGAAUCUGGCGUCU
rnacentral:rRNA from 1 species